GUGCCAGCAGCCGCGGUAAUACGGAGGGUGCGAGCGUUAUCCGGAAUCACUGGGUUUAAAGGGUGCGUAGGCGGCCUGGUAAGUCAGGGGUGAAAGGCCACAGCUUAACUGUGGAAUUGCCUUUGAUACUGCCGGGCUUGAAUCAGGUUGAGGUGGGCGGAAUGUGGCAUGUAACGGUGAAAUGUGUAGAUAUGCCAUAGAACACCGAUUGCGAAGGCAGCUCACUGGACCUGUAUUGACGCUGAGGCACGAAAGCGUGGGGAGCAAACAGGAUUAGAUACCCUGGUAGUCCACGCCCUAAACGAUGUUCACUCGCUGUUGGGCCUUGGGGUUCAGCGGCUAAGGGAAAUCGAUAAGUGAACCACCUGGGGAGUACGCCCGCAAGGGUGAAACUUAAAUGAAUUGACGGGG
rnacentral:rRNA from 1 species